rnacentral:rRNA from 1 species
AGUGAACGCUGGCGGUAGGCCUAACACAUGCAAGUCGAAUGGCAGCACAGUAAGAGCUUGCUCUUACGGGUGGCGAGUGGCGGACGGGUGAGGAAUACAUCGGAAUCUACUUUUUCGUGGGGGAUAACGUAGGGAAACUUACGCUAAUACCGCAUACGACCUACGGGUGAAAGCAGGGGAUCUUCGGACCUUGCGCGACUGAAUGAGCCGAUGUCGGAUUAGCUAGUUGGCGGGGUAAAGGCCCACCAGGGCGACGAUCCGUAGCUGGUCUGAGAGGAUGAUCGGCCACACUGGAACUGAGACACGGUCCAGACUCCUACGGGAGGCAGCAGUGGGGAAUAUUGGACAAUGGGCGCAAGCCUGAUCCAGCCAUACCGCGUGGGUGAAGAAGGCCUUCGGGUUGUAAAGCCCUUUUGUUGGGAAAGAAAAGCAGCAGGUUAAUACCCCGCUGUUCUGACGGUACCCAAAGAAUAAGCACCGGCUAACUUCGUG